GUUGCUGCAGCUGGUGUUGUGAAUCAGGCCGACAAAAAGUGCGUCUUACUAUCCGGCUAUUUCACUACACCAGGGUCGCAUCA
rnacentral:pre_miRNA from 11 species